rnacentral:rRNA from 1 species
GACGAACGCUGGCGGCGUGCUUAACACAUGCAAGUCGAACGGAAAGGCCCUGCUUUUGUGGGGUGCUCGAGUGGCGAACGGGUGAGUAACACGUGAGUAACCUGCCCUUGACUUUGGGAUAACUUCAGGAAACUGGGGCUAAUACCGGAUAGGAGCUCCUGCUGCAUGGUGGGGGUUGGAAAGUUUCGGCGGUUGGGGAUGGACUCGCGGCUUAUCAGCUUGUUGGUGGGGUAGUGGCUUACCAAGGCUUUGACGGGUAGCCGGCCUGAGAGGGUGACCGGGCAACUUGGGACUGGGGUUGGGCCCAAGCCCCCGAGGGGGGCAGCGGGGGGGAAAUAGGCCAAAGGGGGGGGACGCCGACGGCGGCACCCCGCGGGGGGGGAGGAGGCCCUUGGGGUUUAACACGCUUUCCCCUGGUAACAAGGGGGGGGGAGGGAAAGUGGUAAAAAAACCCCGGCUAACCACCGC